UUAUACAUCUUAUAUCUCUCUCUAAAAGAUUAGAUUCAAAAGAGUUUAAAGAGAACUAAUUAAAGAUGCAUUUAACUCCCAUCCUAAGGGCCCUCCUCCUCAUGGCCAUUGUUGCAACACUCUUUUGUGCUCAUUUCGACUUGGUACUUGGAGAUGGGCCAGCAGGGAGGAGACUUUUGGGAAGGGGUGGCUACAAUGGGCCGGGGAAAGAUGCUGUUAACAGUUCCCCUCUGGGAAAUAAAUAAACAAUUUUAAAGCUUAUAUAUAUAAGGGGUGUAAAUUUCAAUUUGCACUUAUGUGGUUUAGAGCAUUUUUAUUUUGCCAUCCUAUAUUUUAAAAAGUUGCAUGCUAUUACCUGCGGUUUAUUUUCAUUUCACUGUAAGUAUCUACAUUAAAUAUGGUAGUAACUAAAGUGACAUUUUUUAUAAAUCAUAUGAUGGUAUACUAUAUAUAUAUAUAAUACUUUACCAUCCUAUGAUUUAUAAAAAAAUAUAAUCACUUAAUUUAUCAUGUUUAAUGCUAUGUCCUUAUGGUGAAACAAAAGUUAAAAUACAGAAUAUUUAAGUGCAACUUUUUGAACCACAAGGCGGUGAAAUAAAAAAUACGCUAAACCAUAUUGGGGCAGAUUGAAGUUUACACAACAAUAAAUAAAACGGAUACUACUAAUAUAAAAUUUGCGUAAGUUUGUAUUUGCAGUGUGUGGAUUUGGACAUUGAUAUGUUGAUACCUGACAUACAUAUAUGUCCAUAUCAUCUCAAAUAUCUCAGAUAUUAUUGUGUGUUAAUUAGAAUGAAUGUAUCAGUGACAUAAAUAUAUAAUAAAUUGAGGUUUGCUUAA